rnacentral:rRNA from 1 species
AUACGGAGGAUCCGAGCGUUAUCCGGAUUUAUUGGGUUUAAAGGGUGCGCAGGCGGCCAUUUAAGUCAGCGGUUAAAUCGUGGGGCUCAACCCCAUUCUGCCGUUGAUACUGGGUGGCUUGAUUGCGGUCGAGGUUGGCGGAAUUCGUUGUGUAGCGGUGAAAUGCAUAGAUAUGACGAAGAACACCGAUUGCGUAGGCAGCUGACCAGACCGCAAAUGACGCUCGUGCACGAAAGUGCGGGGAUCGAACAGGAUUAGAUACCCUGGUAGUCCGCACAGUAAACGAUGAAUACUUGUUUUCGGCGAUAUAAUGUCGGAGGCAAAGCGAAAGCGAUAAGUAUUCCACCUGGGGAGUACGCCGGCAACGGUGAAACUCAAAUGAAUGGGCGGGG